UAUGUGUGUGUGUGUGUGUAUGUAUGUGUAUAUAUGUGUGUGUGUGUAUAUAUAUAUAUGUGUGUGUGUGUGUGUGUGUAUGUAUGUACACACACACACACACACAAACACACAGG